UUUGAGUUUGCUCCUGGCUCAGAUUGAACGUGGCGGUAUGCUUAAGACAUGCAAGUCGAACGGAAUCUUCGGAUUCAGUGGCGGACGGGUGAGUAACACGUGGGAAUCUACUGAGUAUGGGGGACAGCCCGGCGAAAGCCGGAUUAAUACCGCAUACGCCCUACGGGGGAAAGGCGCAAGCGCUAUUUAAUGGCCCGCGUAAGAUUAGCUAGAUGGUAAGGUAAAGGCUUACCAAAGGACGAUCUUUAGCAGGUCUGAGAGGAUGGCCAGCCACAUCGGGACUGAGACACGGCCCGGACUCCUACGGGAGGCAGCAGUCGGGAAUAUUGGACAAUGGGCGCAAGCCUGAUCCAGCAAUACCGCGUGUGUGAAGAAGGCCUGCGGGUUGUAAAGCACUUUC
rnacentral:rRNA from 1 species